rnacentral:lncRNA from 1 species
GGGGUGGUGUGUUUGGGAUCCGGCUCAGUGCUGGCUCUUGAUGAACGGACACUAAUUUGUGAAGUUCUCCAAAGGUCUUGAAUGGACUCUUCUUGACACUGCCGUCAUCCCUCUUGCUUGUGCGCCUUUUCCUACCACAAUUUUCCUUUCCAGUCAAUCCUCCAUUCAUAUGCUUGGAUACAGGACUCUGUGAACAGCCAGCCUUUUCACCAACAACCCUUUGUCAUUUACCCUUCUUGUGAAGGGUUUCGAUGAAAGUCUCCUGAACAGCCAAUUAACAGUCUUCUCAAUUACUGUGGUUCAGUGUACUGAAGUGGACCAAGAGAUAGACUAUUUGUACUGUGAUUUACGCAAACUCAAAAUGAAAUAUUAUACAUUUUUAGCUUUUCAAAAUUUGAAAUUAAGCCUGUGGACAGAGCGAACAAUGAUUUAAGAGUGGGGGCUGACAUGAGGGAAAGAGGCCACAGGCUGUAAUUGAACCUACGCUGCUCACUUGAGGACUGUAGUCUCUGUACAUUGCACUCAGCUUAGUAACUAGGCCAAACCAGUGCCCCAAAUUUUCACUAUCUUAAAUAAUAAAUGGAAAAUGUAGCCUGGUGUCACCAGACCAGCUCACUAUGAUGGCACCUGCCAGCAGAAAUAACCGAUGAUGGCUGAUGGGUGUGGAAAUGCCAGGCUAAGGAAAGGUUAAACUUUCCUCCAAUAUUCAAAAAUGUUAAGACAUUGAAGAGUCGGGUCCAAGGUAUGACUAAAAGCAGCUUAAACACAUGAACAUGAAAAUUAUUCAGCUGAAAAAUAUUAUUUACUGGGUAACUUUAAAGUGCAAUACCUAGAAGAAACCACUAGAGAGCAGGCGUCGACCGCUUUAGGAAGUAAUUCUGAUUGAGGUUGCCAAGUGUGUUACACUGUGUGUGUGAAAGAAAGGAGCACAGGGGGUGGGAGUAAUUAGAGUGACAAAGACAGAGGGGCAUUUAAACAAGGCAUUCAUUAGAUGGAGGUCAGAUAUGCACUACUUAACAAAGCAGCUUCAGUUAUACCGCUUCACACCUCAGAAGUUCUGCAUCCAAUAAACAAUAAAAUGAAACCUCCUUAUAAGAAAUGUGCAUGAAUGUGGCAUAUUCAGCUUGUGGAUAUUUUUUAUGUGAUGAGACACAUUUUGCCAUUUAAUAAGAGAGGCAGGAGCGUUCCACAUCACAGGACACAGAACAUAUUGUGUGCUGUUUUUAGGUCACACCCAUGACAAUGCUUUUCCAUGUUCCCACAGACACACACACACAGAGGCAAUGAAGGAAAACCUCACUGUCCUGGAUAUGGCCGGUGGAAUAUAAAAAGUCAUUGUAAAUAACACGGAGUGGGAAGUUUUAAUUGGAAAAACAAAAUUGAAAAGUGAAAAGAGAAAAUUGCAUUCCUAGGAGAAGACCGAACACAAAUCCUCAGCUCUACGGAAGCAAAGCUACGUCUAAUUGCUGCUAUGGUAACAGCUAACAGUAAUUACCUUUCCUCUGUAAUUAGUUUGUAAAAUGUAAGCCUUAGCUAGCACAGUGUGAGGGAAAAUGGGGUGGUCAUGGUUAUGAUAUAUUAAAAGUCAUUUUUGCUCUCAAAUCCAGCCUUAUUCUCACUUAAAUAAAUUUCUCUCUAAUACCCGUACAAUGCAGUGAUAAUUAUUUUUAUAUGACGGUGUUUCAGCACCAGACUCUUUCCCUACCUUUCCAAAAACAAUAAUACCAACAAGCUAUUCAGAAAACUGUGGGGACCUUGUUCCAGAUUGUUAACAAACCCAAAGGUGAAG